AAACUAGGAUUAGAUACCCUAUUAUAAUAAAAUAGAAAUAAAUAUAUUAAAGUAUUAAAUGAUAAAUCAUUAAAUUUAUAAGAUUUGGCGGUAUUUUAUUCCAGUUAGGGGAACUUGUUAAUUAAAAUGAUAAUCCACGAUAAGAUUUACUUAAUUUAAUACUUAUGUAUUGCUGUUUUUAGAUGUAUUUUAAAAAUAUGAUUAUAAUUUAUUUUAUUAAAAUAAUUCAAGUCAAAAUAUAGUUUAGUUAAGAUUUAAUGAGUUACAAUAUUUUAUAAAUAUUACGGAUUUUAAAAUUUAAUUUUUAAAUGAAGGUGGACUUAAAAGUAAAAUUAAUAAAUUAAUUAAUUUGAAAUAUGGUUUUGAAAUAUGUACACAUCGCCCGUCGCUCUUA
rnacentral:rRNA from 1 species